GAGUUUGAUCAUGGCUCAGAUUGAACGCUGGCGGUAUGCUUAACACAUGCAAGUCGAACGGUAACAGGCCUUCGGGCGCUGACGAGUGGCGGACGGGUGAGUAACGCGUAGGAAUCUGCCUCAUAGUGGGGGACAACGUGGGGAAACUCACGCUAAUACCGCAUACGCCCUACGGGGGAAAGGAGGGGAUCUUCGGACCUUUCGCUAUGAGAUGAGCCUGCGUUAGAUUAGCUAGUUGGUAGGGUAAAGGCCUACCAAGGCGACGAUCUAUAGCUGGUCUGAGAGGACGAUCAGCCACACUGGGACUGAGACACGGCCCAGACUCCUACGGGAGGCAGCAGUGGGGAAUAUUGGACAAUGGGCGAAAGCCUGAUCCAGCAAUACCGCGUGUGUGAAGAAGGCCUUAGGGUUGUAAAGCACUUUCAAUUGGGAGGAAAACCUGCCGGUCAAUACCCGGUAGCUUGACAUUACCUUUAGAAGAAGCACCGGCUAACUCCGUGCCAGCAGCCGCGGUAAUACGGAGGGUGCGAGCGUUAAUCGGAAUUACUGGGCGUAAAGCGUGCGUAGGCGGUUCGUUAAGUCAGAUGUGAAAGCCCUGGGCUCAACCUGGGAACUGCAUUUGAAACUGGCGGACUAGAGUUUAGUAGAGGGGAGUGGAAUUUCAGGUGUAGCGGUGAAAUGCGUAGAUAUCUGAAGGAACACCAGUGGCGAAGGCGACUCCCUGGACUAGAACUGACGCUGAGGUACGAAAGCGUGGGUAGCAAACAGGAUUAGAUACCCUGGUAGUCCACGCCGUAAACGAUGUCGACUAGCCGUUGGCCCUAUUUACAGGGUUAGUGGCGCAGCUAACGCAUUAAGUCGACCGCCUGGGGAGUACGGCCGCAAGGUUAAAACUCAAAUGAAUUGACGGGGGCCCGCACAAGCGGUGGAGCAUGUGGUUUAAUUCGAUGCAACGCGAAGAA
rnacentral:rRNA from 1 species